UACGAAGGGGGCUAGCGUUGUUCGGAAUUACUGGGCGUAAAGCGCGCGCAGGCGGUUCUGCAAGUCAGUGGUGAAAGCCCGGAGCUCAACUCCGGAACUGCCAUUGAAACUGUUGAACUUGAGGACGAGAGAGGUGAGUGGAAUUCCCAGUGUAGAGGUGAAAUUCGUAGAUAUUGGGAAGAACACCAGUGGCGAAGGCGGCUCACUGGCUCGUAUCUGACGCUCAGGCGCGAUAGCGUGGGGAUCAAACAGG
rnacentral:rRNA from 1 species